GACGCCUUGUGUUGAUGAUUUGAGAAGCAUGAGUUCAACACGGAGCUUUUUCUUCUUUUCGCUGGUCAGAUCUUCUGAAAGCUCGGGGAGGCAGGAGGUGAAUCUUCAACGCUGCUUUUCUUGUGCCAAGUAAACAUGUAGAGUAGAUACUGAUAGUCCAGCCUGACCUUUUAGUUUUAUUCCUCUCUGCCGGCGACAGUCAGAGCCGGAGCUGGAGACACGAUAUCUCAUUAAUACCUCGAAGGAACUUCUUCAAAUUUGGCACAAACGUUCACUUGGACUCGAGGGUGAACCGAUUGGACUUUGGUGGCCAAAGGUCACGGUGACCUCACAGAACAGGAUUUUGGCCUUUGUGAACGCAAUAUCUCAAACUCCUCAAGGCCAGUCCCUUCAGAUUUGGGAACCGGAACCUUCACUGAUUAGAUUUCGACGGUCAAAGGUCAAAAGGUCAUCACUUUUUUAUCCACAACUCAAGACUUCACGCAGCAAUUAUGACAACAUUUUAUAUGACUCAGGACACACAGUGAUGUAACCUGAAGCUAGUCUGAGUGGCGGAGGGAUACAACUGUGAGGCGGUUACUCUAGUUUUUUUUUUACGUGGUGACGAUGAAAAUGUCUUCCACAUGCUGAGCAGGCGCCCUAAUAAAAGUUCCUGGAAAAGGAACAACAAAACCAUUAUUUUGGUCUGUUUCCAGUUUCUGUGUUAGUGGGUCACAAGUGGGAAUCGCUUCAUUUUUGAGGUUUGUGAUCUUAAAAAAAGAUGUGAGAAUAAUAAUCACCACCCGCCUGAGGAAAAGGGUGCAUGUGUGUGGCCGUUCGUUUUUUUUUCCCGAGGAGGAAUGGAGCGCAGGUGUGACAUUUCAGCUGUUAUGUAAUGUUCAGAACUUAACCUUUCUGCGGCAGAUGGACUCGCUGAGGACUCGGGGCGGUGGAUACAGAGCUGCUACUGUUCAGCUCUGCACACUGAUGCCUUCAUGGGUGUUUGAGAAAAAUUCUCCUGGCAAUAAACACACAAACAAGCCCGAGGAGCACGCACCGCCGCGAUACUGCAGACCCUCAAGUCAGCGGAGACGGGAAAUAUGUCACGGGGGGGGGGGCUAUUAAUCACAGCGAUGUCCUGGCUGGCUCGACAUCACAAGACACCUCAAGGUUCAGGCUGUAGUGGGUUAGAGAGGAACACAUCUUUAUUUCUUUGGUUGUUUGUUCACAGGAACUACUUUUUCCACAUGUACAUGUUUCAAAAACUUGGUGGAGGGAUGAGAGAAGACGUCAUUACAUUUUGGGGCAGAUCUGGAUCAUUUACUGUGAAUUUGAAUAUUUUUCUCUGAAGUCCGCUGUAGGCUACGUAUAUUGUUUGACUCUGGCCUCAGCGAGGGUCCGGCUCACCUGAGUGCUCUUCUUUCAUUUAAUAGGAUUUUUGCAAAUUAUCCUUCUAAAUUUAAAGGCUCUGCACACAUUGUGGUUCACCUGCACAGUUCAGCUGCACCUGGAGUCUGACUCUCCAGAUGUGGGCAGCCGUCUAUUCUAGGAAGCGUUCUCCUUUCUCGUUUCUCGUUUCACAUUUCAAAAUCCCCCUUGACGGCAACAGUCUCCGAGCUGCGACCUACACGCUGACAAUGGCGAGUUUUGAUAAAGAUUUGGAUUCGUGCAAUCCCACAGUUGACAUUAAGUCCUCGCUGUUGUUUGUGGUGUUUUCUUCGUUUCUUUGGAAUCAGCCGUUUAUGCUUAUGAGAUGGCAAAGCACGGAAUAAACCGGACUUCCUGUUAGGUCUGACCUGCACCUGAAACAGCUUCACCUCUUUGCAUCAUCACUAUUAGCUGUAGUUAGAAAAGUCGAAAACACCCGGAGGCUCCUCUGGUCGGUAACUCCUCAUUCCCCCACGUCCACUGACACAUCUGCUUCCUGCAGGGCGCACUGCAGAGGCCUAAUUCCAUUUUAAUUUCCUCCCAGACCUACAAGUGUGCAUGCCAUGUCUGCAUUAAAGCCCGCAAGAUUAUUUUUUUUCCAAUUUAAACAUUGUGUAGUUGGCUUUGUUUUCAUUUCAUAGUACAAGGUAAACACUUAACGCGGUGAUUAUGUUUUCCUCUGAAAGAGCUGAUCCACAGUUUGCUGCGAGUUACUUCAGAGGGUCAUUUAGAGUCCGUGCACAGGGACCUGCGCAUGUUUUCAUGCAAAAUCAAUUAGUGUAUGAUUUAAACUGUUGGAGGAUGCACUGAUGAGCAUGAUAGUUUUUGCCUCCAUGUUGAGCUGCUGGAUCGUUUUUCUGCUCCAGUUUCUCUCUGACGCAGGUUCAGAUGAUUCAUUUUUAGUUAUUUUAUAUUAUGUUUUUAUUGUUUGCUGUCCCUGAAUCUGAUAUUCCUUAUGGAGCAGAGGAAUUUUAGCUACACACAACAUUUAAGUGGAUUAUUGUUUCAGAGAUUAUUAUUUUAGCAGCAUAAACAGAGCUUCUGCUGAUAUGAAAGCGUCAUCUCUUAGCUGCAUUUCUGUCACUUUUCUUUUUUAUUCCUUUCUUGAUGACAUAACAAAAACAGGUGUGACAUGAAUGGUACAUGGGACAUAAUGGACAGACAUGUAGAGGACAACAAAAACAAGAACAUGAUGUGUGAGUGUGUGUGUGCUUUGAUGUUGAUAUUAUUAAUUGUUGUUAAUAUUAUAUUAUAUUGAAAUGAUUCUAUAUAUAAGUAAUACAUAUUGUCAUAAUAUCACUGCAGUAUUAUCAUGUUAUUUUACAUUAUUUUAUAUUAUAUCCUUGUUACAUUGACAGGAUUUCAAAUGAAUUGUUAUUAUUAUAUAUCUUUAUUAUUAUUACUA